rnacentral:tmRNA from 1 species
GGGGGCGAAAAGGGUUCGACGGGGGUAGGGAGGUAAGGAGUGCAUGCCGAGGUCCCACCCCUCGUAAAACAGUGGGGCAAAAAUAAGUGCCGACAAUUACGAGUACGCUUUGGCUGCCUAAUUGAAGCAGCCAACGUCCUUUGGGAUUCGCCCGCAGGUCCCAGCAGGGCGUCAGAGAUGCGGGCUGGGUCCCUGUCGGUGCCCAGAGGCAGGGACGACAAAUGAUGGGCUAGCCUCCAGAGGAUCCUGCCUGUGGGAGCCCUGGAGGGGAAGAUAAAACACAGGCUAAGCAUGUAGGGCUCCUUAGCGAACUACCCUCGGACGCGGGUUCGAUUCCCGCCGCCUCCACCA